ACGUAAUAGAUACCCCGGUAGUCCACGCCCUAAACUAUGAUAACUGGCUUUCCGGAGUAUCGACCCUCUGGGAGGCGAAAGCUAAACGCGUUAAAGUUAUCCGCCUGGGUAGUACGGCCGCAAGGCUAAAACUCAAAGGAAUAGACGGGGGCUUGCACAAGCGGUGGAGCGUGUGGCUUAAUUCGUCGCUAAGCGAAGAACCUUACCAGGGCUAGAAAUCCUACUGCAUACACUGGGAAACCAGAGUAGCCUUCGAGGGUGUAGGACAGGUGAUGCAUGGCUGUCGUCAGUUCGUGGUUUGAAUCGUUCCCUUCAGUGGGUAACGAACGCAACCCUCGUUGCCUGUUACUAAGUGUCAGGCGAGACUGCCCCCUCCACGGGGGAGGGAAGGGUGAGGAUGACGCCAAGUCAGCAUGUCCCUCUGAUGUCCUGGGCUGCACACGCGCUAC
rnacentral:rRNA from 1 species